ensembl:snRNA U1 U1 spliceosomal RNA
AUAUUUACCUGGCAAAGGAGAGACCAUGAUCAUGAAGAUGGUUUUCUUAAUGCAACAUACAUACAUUGUACUUCAAAUGGGUUGACCCAUGUGAUUUCUACAAAUGCAGAAUAAUUGACAGCAUAAUUUAUGGUAGUGAGGGAACA